rnacentral:misc_RNA from 1 species
CCGAGUUUACAACUCCCAAACCCCUGUGAACAUACCUAUCGUUGCCUCUGGCGGGCCGCCGGAGGACCCCAAACUCUUGUUUUAUACAGUAUCUUCUGAGUAACACGAUUAAAUAAAUCA